rfam:Salmo salar isolate Sally breed double haploid chromosome ssa22, whole genome shotgun sequence.
CUCCCUGUGGCUCAGUUGGUAGAGCAUGGUGUUUGCAAUGGUGUUUGCAACGCCAGGGUUGUGGGUUCGAUUCCCACGGGAGG